GAUGAACGCUGGCGGCGUGCCUAAUACAUGCAAGUCGAGCGAACGGACGCGAAGCUUGCUUCUCUGAUGUUAGCGGCGGACGGGUGAGUAACACGUGGAUAACCUACCUAUAAGACUGGGAUAACUUCGGGACACCGGCGCUAAUCCCGGAUAAUCUUUUGAACCGCAUGGUUCAAAAAUGAAAGACGGUCUUGCUGUCACUUAUAGCUGGAUCCGCGCUGCAUUAGCUAGUUGGUAAGGUAACGGCUUACCAAGGCCACGAUGCAUAGCCGACCUGAGAGGGUGAUCGGCCACACGGGAACGGAGACACGGUCCAGACUCCUACGGGAGGCAGCAGUAGGGAAUCUUCCGCAAUGGGCGAAAGCCUGACGGAGCAACGCCGCGUGAGUGAUGAAGGUCUUCGGAUCGUAAAACUCUGUUAUGAGGGAAGAACAUAUGUGUAAGGAACUGUGCACAUCGUGACGGUACCUAAUCAGAAAGCCACGGCUAACUACGUG
rnacentral:rRNA from 1 species